rnacentral:tRNA from 1 species
UGGCGGAUCGUUCAACGGUAGGACUGAGGACUCUGACUCCUCCAACCUAGGUUCGAAUCCUAGUCCGCCAGCCA